AGCCCGGUAGUGUAGCGGACAAGCAUAGAGGCCUUUGGAGCCUUUGACCCCAGUUCGAAUCUGGGCCGGGCUA
rnacentral:tRNA from 1 species